UAACUAACAAAAAUUUUUCAC
rnacentral:piRNA from 1 species